CAGCCCUUGACAUGUCCCGUAUGGAUUUCAGAGAUGAGGUCCUUCAGUUCGGCUGGCGGGAACACAGGUGCUGCAUGGCUGUCGUCAGCUCGUGUCGUGAGAUGUUGGGUUAAGUCCCGCAACGAGCGCAACCCUCGGCCUUAGUUGCCAUCAUUUAGUUGGGCACUCUAAGGCGACUGCCGGUGAUAAGCCGGAGGAAGGUGGGGAUGACGUCAAGUCCUCAUGGCCCUUACGGGCUGGGCUACACACGUGCUACAAUGGCGGUGACAGAGGGAUGCAAUAGGGCAACCUUUCGCAAAUCUCGAAAAACCGUCUCAGUUCGGAUUGGGGUCUGCAACUCGACCCCAUGAAGUUGGAAUCGCUAGUAAUCGCGGAUCAGCACGCCGCGGUGAAUACGUUCCC
rnacentral:rRNA from 1 species